GAUGAAGAACGCAGCGAAAUGCGAUAAGUAAUGUGAAUUGCAGAAUUCAGUGAAUCAUCGAAUCUUUGAACGCACAUUGCGCCCGCCAGUAUUCUGGCGGGCAUGCCUGUUCGAGCGUCAUUUCAACCAUCAAGCCCCAGGCUUGUGUUGGAGCCCUGCGGCUGCCGCAGCCUCCCAAAACCAGUGGCGGGCUCGCUAUCACACCGAGUGCAGUAGUUUACUCUUCGCUCAGGGCGUGUGGCGGGUGCUAGCCGUGAAACCCCCAACUUCUCAAGGUUGACCUCGGAUCAGGUAUGAAUACCCGCUGAACUUAAGCAUAUCAAUAAGCGGAGGA
rnacentral:misc_RNA from 1 species